AAUUGUUUUCCUUUUUCUCUGAGGCUUCUCAUCUUACCAGGAGAAAAAUCCUGGGUGAAGGGAUUUUUCCAGAAAAUGUGAAUGCCACACAGAGAGACCUUACAGCAGCCUUCCACUGAGAACCCUGCCCAAUGACACAGUUGAAGUUAAAAUUAGUUGAAAGGGAGGCAGAGCUUUUGUUGGGAUCUGGCUGAAAAUCACUGCUUAGUGGAAGGCAAAAGUGCUCCUACGUUUUCCACAAACACUUUACAAGGCAAGGAGGAACUUAAAAGAGGAAUGACAGCAAAAACUAUUGGAAGAUUAAUGAGGAUCCCUGCAGCCUGGUCUUUUAUGGAUCACCAGCUUUUCUUUCAUCAGCUAUAUUUACUCAGCAAGUAAAUCUACUGCUAAAAAAUAUGAAAAGCUCUUCCACAAGCCUGUUUAAAGGCCACUCUUAAUUCAGGCCAAAA